UUUUGCUUGUUUUUGUUGUUGUUGUUAAAAAAAAAAAUGUCUACCAUCACAGAGACUGCUUAGAAAAUUCUGGGCCCUUGGCUGAUAAACAUUGUAAAAAAUACCUCUCAUAUGGAAAUAUCAUUUCCUACAAUUUCACCUAUAUCUGACCUCUUCGCAUUACAAAGAAAGCAUUAAUCUACAAAAUGGAUGCUCUCAAAAAGGAGAAAUGUGAUGUAUGUGUGCGCGCGCGCGCCUGUGUGUUUAAGGAGCUCUACUUGAUCCAACUACAAAAUGAAACUUUGAAUAGAAAGCAACACACACCUCUUCAAUAAGAACCAUUCAGAUUCCUGUUCAGAUAGAAGACCUAAAGAGAUAGCUAACUGCUCCAAUUGACCUGGGCUCUUUCUGCCACCCCACCCACACAUGGAAUCUGAAUUGAUCAUACUUAACCUGCUCUCCACGGAUGGUAGGUCCCAGGCCCACCCACUAGAGCUGGAGGUGCCUUUGGAUCCAUCUACCUGGCUGGCUCGCCCUCUCCAUCCCUAACAUCUAGAUCAGCCAAAAUGGACAGCCAUCAACCCAGCACAGUUGGCGUGGGGGUGCUCCACGCCAAUGCCACCUUCCCGGGUGGCUCCGGGAACCCCAGACUACACUGUAGAGGCUAGGGAUCCAAACACCUUCAACCUGCUGGCGGCUGCCCAUGACUCCCACCGCUGCCGGUAUUGGCAAGCUAACGGACUCCAGCGGAGGAGGCCGCAGGGAGGCACCUUGGCGCCCAGACCGCCGGCGGGAGACACCCACCGCCCUUCCCAAGCAGACGGGACUUCUGGGGGUUCCGGGUCUUUCAAGGCAAUAAAGCAAAUCUACGAAUUUU